GACAGCAGCAUUAGCACUUUGUAGCCUGAUCUCAUCAGUUCUCUGAAGCUAAGUAAGGGUAGCACCUGGUUAAUACUGUGAUGGUGCUUUCCCCUAAGGAAAGCUGGCUGUUGCUGAAA
rnacentral:rRNA from 1 species